GCUCCUUUCACUGGGGAGAAUCUGUGAAUAGAGGAACUUCCCUUCUCAUAAGAGAAUACUACACAUUUGGUAAGAACAUGUAAUGCUUUAUUGUUUAGCACUGUGGUCCAAUUUUCCUCUCUAUAAAAUUAAGGUGAUAUUAAACCCCCAGAUUUAUAUGGUGGACAUCAGCUUUAUGAAACGAAAUGUAUAAUUUCAAUAACUUAAUAUAUAACUUUAAAAAAAAAUCACUUAGCAUAGCGAUUUGCUGAUUGUAUGUAAAACUUUAGCCUUACUAGAAACGUUUUAUAAUAUAGACAAUGAAAUGAAAUAGCACAUUGUUCCAUGUCCAAUCAAACUGCAAGUGAGAUGAUAACGGCUUCCUUCAUCUUCUCUCUAGGGAUAUUAAAUGGCUUCAAUAGAUUUGACAUUUUAAAUGAGCCAAAAAUUAUAGAUGAACAGGAUUUUGCUGGCUCACAAUACAGAUCCUAUACAAUCCACCUACAGCAGGAUCAGGAAAAUGAGCACAAUAUUCUUGUCAAGGAGACAGAUGAGGUCCAUCUGGUGAAGAAGGAGAAUCCAAUUCUCUUCCACGUCAUGAAACAUGCUGUCGUACCCUCAGUGGUCCCGAUUCCAGCUUGAGAAUGGGCCCUUUCCAGCUCGGCUGCUCUUCUGGAAUAACGCCGGUCAGGUGACUGACUACGCCACCAGAGAGAAUACGAACGCAGUGUCAGAUGUGAUCAUGAUUUAUGACUAGAAUUCAGGAUAAACUGUAAGCAGAAUUAGCAUUAACAUUUCAAAAUGGGAGUCAUGUCAUUGUAUGUGUGUUGAUUGAUUGAUAGAUUUGUAUUCUUGCCUACUGAUAGAAUCACAGUUCAUGGAAUCAUCUAGCAUGAAUAUAUGAGUUGAGUUCAAUAAUAUUUCUUUUUUUUCAUCAUAACUAUUUAAAGCUUAAAGACAGAGCAUUGCAAUAAAACCCACAGAAUAUUUUGCAUCAGAAAGUCAAUACACAAAAUAUUGACUUUAUAAAAUCAUAAAAAAAGUGAUCUUUAUUUAAAGGACACACAUUUCAAAAUAAGAGUGCUUUAAUUGUUUAUAUUUCCAGUGCAGCAUGUGACUCUUAUUGAAGCUGUGGCUGUGAAAGUAGAAUGUAUUACAAGACAUUUUCAUAUACCUGGGGUUUGACAGUCAAAGAUUAAACACAAAUAAUAAUAGAAUUCUUUCCUCAAAAUUCACACCUUUUGUGAAGUAAAGUUUGUCUUUUAAAAUGAUCCAUUGGAUUGUACCUGAAUUACCAUGCAAAUUAGUUUUAUGACAUUUCUAACUCUUUAAAUGUGCAUUGUUGUUAUUAUUAUUAUUAUUAUUAGUGUUGCUGUUGUUAUUAUACUUGUACAAAACAACAUCCAUUUUGUAGAAAGUCAGAGUUAGAGUUAUUAAAAAGUAUAAGCUAGACAAAAGCACCAGUAUUAACUCAAAACGGUUGAUGUGAAUAAAAAGCUUUUGAUAAACUGAGGAGCUGAGAAUAAAGUUGCACCAGUCAAACCAUAUAAAAAGCUCUGCAUAUCACCGGCCAAUACAUGAGGGUGGCACAACAUAUGCCUUUACUCUAAAAGAAUCACAUGAAAGCAUGUCUGGAGUUUGUCCUUGACGUGCCCCUGAGACCAGCUUUCUUUCAAAAAGAAAAACACAGAAGUCGUCUUAUAAGUACUUGACAGUUCACAGUAAGAUAAUGGCAAAACAGGAAUAUUUCAUAAAAAAUUCUGCUCAUUCUCUUCAUGGAUGCAUAUUUUGUAAUCCUGCAAGUGCUCAAAGGCUCAUAGAUGUUUCUGCUAACUGCAGUAUCUUCUUUC
ensembl:lncRNA